GACAGAGGGUGCAAACGUUGUUCGGAAUUACUGGGCGUAAAGCGCGUGUAGGCGGCCAUCUAAGUCGGGCGUGAAAUCCCACGGCUCAACCGUGGAAGUGCACUCGAAACUGGAUGGCUAGAGUCCUGGAGAGGAAGGUGGAAUGCUUGGUGUAGAGGUGAAAUUCGCAGAUAUCAGGAGGAACACCAGCGGCGAAGGCGCUGCUCUGGGCCGGUACUGACGCUGAGGAGCGAAAGCGUGGGGAGCGAACAGG
rnacentral:rRNA from 1 species